CGGCCCUCCCCAGCUCGCCGUCGUCUCUAAUCGGUCUCUGUCUGUCGUGUGUCGUCUGGGUGGCCCCCGUGUUCUCCGGCAUCGGGCUCCGGUAGCACAGGUAAACCCUAACCCUAACCCUAACCCUAGAUCUUUCGUAAACCCUAACCCUAACCCUAACUGUAUAAUGUUUUGAUCUUUUGUAGGUCAGUUGCUGAUGCCUCGUCUUCCUCCUCUGGGGUAGAUCGGGCACGGCGACUGCGUGCUCCGUUGAGGGACGGUGCUGGAGAUCGGCCGUCCGCGGUGAAGGUCGCCAUGGCGGAUGAUGACGAUGUCAAUCCGGUCACCGGCAACGACGACCUUCGCGCGGCAGGGCUUGUCCCAGAUGACGAAGACGACAUCCAGGCUGACGCUGCU
rnacentral:lncRNA from 1 species